rnacentral:misc_RNA from 1 species
UCCGGUUUGACACCGGCAGUCUCGCUAGAGUACUCGGCAUGACCCGUUAGCAACUAGCGACAGGGGUUGCGCUCGUUAGAGGACUUAACCCGACGCUUCACAGCACGAGCUGACGACAGCCAUGCAGCACCUGUGACCGUUCCACCCUUGCGGGCGUGGCUCCUGUUUCCAGGAGUUAAUCCGGCCAUGUCAAACCCAGGUAAGGUUCUUCGCGUUGCCUCGAAUUAAGCAACAUGCUCCACCGCUUGUGUGAGCCCCCGUCAAUUCCUUUGAGUUUUAGCCUUGCGACCGUACUCCCCAGGCGGCACACUUAACGCUUUUGCUGCGACCGAUACGGCGUCAGAGCCGCACCGAUCCAGUGUGCAUCGUUUACGGCGUGGACUAC